UCAAGGUGAGAGAUACGGAGGUAGAGCACUGAAUGUCCUAGGGGGUAUUGCACCUACCGAAGACUAUCAAACUCCGAAUGCCGUCAUCUUAUACUUGGGAGUCAGACUGUGGGUGAUAAGAUUCAUAGUCGAAAGGGCAACAGCCCAGAUCGUCAGCUAAGGUCCCUAAAUGUAAGUUAAGUGGUAAAGGAUGUGGGAUUGCACAGACAACCAGGAUGUUGGCUUAGAAGCAGCCACUCAUUCAAAGAGUGCGUAAUAGCUCACUGGUCGAGUGAUCCUGCGCCGAAGAUUUCCGGGGCUAAAACUUACUACCGAAGCUACGGCAUCAGUAAUGAUGGGUAGGGGAGCUUCCCAUACGGGUUGAAGCAUGACCGUAAGGACAUGUGGACAGUAUGGGAGUGAGAAUGUUGGCAUGAGUAGCGAGAUGUGGGUGAGAAUCCCACAGGCCGUAAACCCAAGGUUUCCAGGGGAAGGUUCGUCCGCCCUGGGUUAGUCGGGACCUAAGCUGAGGCCGAAAGGCGUAGGUGAUGGACAACAGGUUGAUAUUCCUGUACUACCGAUAACCAUUUGAGAGAAGGGAUGACACAGUAGGAUAAGCUAAGCACACUGUUGGUUAUGUGUGCCCAAGCAUUGAGGCAGUCAAAGUAGGCAAAUCCGCUUUGAUAAUGCUGGGAUGUGAUGGGGAGCGAAAUUUAGUAGCGAAGUAGCUGAUUUCACACUGUCAAGAAAAGUCUCUAUCGAGGUUAAAGGUACCCGUACCGCAAACCGACACAGGUGGGUGAGGAGAGUAUCCUAAGGCCAGCGAGAGAACUGUUGUUAAGGAACUCGGCAAAAUGACCCCGUAACUUAGGGAUAAGGGGUGCCACCAUCAGGUGGCCGCAGAGAAUAGGCCCAAGCGACUGUUUACCAAAAACAUAGGUUUCUGCUAAGUCGCAAGACGAUGUAUAGGAGCUGACGCCUGCCCGGUGCUGGAAGGUUAAGGGGAUCUGUUAGAGCAAUCGAAGCAGUGAACUUAAGCCCCAGUAAACGGCGGCCGUAACUAUAACGGUCCUAAGGUAGCGAAAUUCCUUGUCGGGUAAGUUCCGACCCGCACGAAAGGCGUAACGAUUUGGGCACUGUCUCAACAACAGACUCGGUGAAAUUGUAAUUCCGGUGAAGAUGCCGGAUACCUGCGACAGGACGGAAAGACCCCAUGGAGCUUUACUGUAGCUUGACAUUGGGUCUUGGUACUACAUGUACAGGAUAGGUGGGAGGCUUUGAAACCAGGACGCCAGUUUUGGCGGAGCCAUCCUUGGGAUACCACCCUUGUAGUACUGGGACUCUAACCAUAGGCCAUGAAUCUGGUCUUGGGACACUGUCAGGUGGGCAGUUUGACUGGGGCGGUCGCCUCCCAAAAGGUAACGGAGGCGCUCAAAGGUUCUCUCAGUACGGUCGGAAAUCGUACGUAGAGUGUAAAGGCAAAAGAGAGCUUGAUUGCAAGACAUACAGGUCGAGCAAGGAUGAAAAUCGGACUUAGUGAUCCGGUGGUUCUGCGUGGAAGGGCCAUCGCUCAACGGAUAAAAGCUACCCUGGGGAUAACAGGCUUAUCUCCCCCAAGAGUCCACAUCGACGGGGAGGUUUGGCACCUCGAUGUCGGCUCAUCACAUCCUGGGGCUGUAGUAGGUCCCAAGGGUUGGGCUGUUCGCCCAUUAAAGUGGUACGCGAGCUGGGUUCAGAACGUCGUGAGACAGUUCGGUCCCUAUCCGUCGCAGGCGUAGGAAAUUUGAGAAGACCUGUCCUUAGUACGAGAGGACCGGGAUGGACGUACCUCUGGUGUACCAGUUGUCCUGCCAAGGGCAUGGCUGGGUAGCUAUGUACGGAAUGGAUAAGCGCUGAAAGCAUCUAAGCGCGAAGCCAACUUCAAGAUAAGAUUUCCCACCGCAAGGGUAAGACCCCAGAAAGACUAUCUGGUUGAUAGGUCGAAGGUGUAAGUGCAGCAAUGUAUUUAGCUUAUCGAUACUAAUAGGUCGAGGACUUGACC
rnacentral:rRNA from 1 species